GAGGGCUGCUUUUGGGUCUUCUCCUUUGGAAUUCAUCUUGGAACUCUGAAUUGGUGAGCUGGACUGAAGGAGGACACUCUUUCCCUGGAUCCUGCGUUGGCUUGCUAGGUAGAUGUGGUGGAACAUAUCUGUGAUUCUUGCUGCCUAAGACUUGUGGAGCAAUUGAAUUCAGGAGUUUUGAGCUUCAGUGAGCUGAGUCUGUGCUGAGCCUGACCACCAAUGUGGUCUGUAAGCUAGAAAAAGGAAGAAUUCCAGAAAUUGGGCCAUGUGGCUUUCCAUCAUACUUUUGAAGAACAAAAAUGGACCCUAACUAUGAGAAGAGAAUGGAGGUACCAAGGAGUGUCAUUGGCUCUUCAAGUUUCAUGGAGCAGGAGAGAAAGACUGGGGGAAAUCUGAUGCAAAGAUCCUAGAUCAUGCUUCCCUGCUGCUGCUCCUGGUACAUAUUUCCAACUGGACCUUUAGAAAUGUCCCCUGGAUGAACUAAGCUGCUUGGCUUUGGAACUCUUGCCUCAGCAUAAUGCUUUUGUGAUUGGUGAGAAGAUAUUCUAUCUAACCAGCUCUAGACCAUAGCUUAUUAUUUUUUCUCCACGGGUUAUCAUUAAACCUGAAUCAUUCUGU
rnacentral:lncRNA from 1 species